GGAAGGCAAUAAUGUAUGACAAAAACGGCAAUAAUGUCGAGAAAAGAAGUAGGAGAAACGGCUGUGACCUGAUUACUCGGGCCGAAUGUGUUUCAUUCUGCAGUUUGCUGUUUUUACGUAUUUCAAGACUUCUCUGGUGCCGUUAGGAAGUAAGUAAGGAAGUCAUAUGCUGAAUGUGACGAGUUCGUACCAUUAUUUUUUUCCGGCUAAGAUUCAAGAUGAACAUGUAAAUAUGACCU
rnacentral:lncRNA from 1 species